AUACGGAGGGUGCAAGCGUUACUCGGGAUCACUGGGCGUAAAGCGCGCGCAGGCGGCUUGAUAAGUUGGAUGUGAAAGCCUACGGCUCAACCGUAGAACUGCAUCCAAAACUGUCAGGCUAGAGUGUGGGAGAGGAAGAUGGAAUUAGUUGUGUAGGGGUAAAAUCCGUAGAGAUAACUAGGAAUACCAAAAGCGAAGGCAAUCUUCUGGAACACUACUGACGCUGAGGCGCGAAGGCGUGGGGAGCAAACAGGAUUAGAAACCCGUGUAGUCC
rnacentral:rRNA from 1 species